GCACCAUUAGCUCAGCUGGCAGAGCACCUGACUCUUAAUCAGGGUGUCCAGGGUUCGAACCCCUGAUGGUGUACCA
rnacentral:tRNA from 8 species